GACGAACGCUGGCGGCGUGCUUAACACAUGCAAGUCGAACGGAAAGGCCCUGCUUUUGUGGGGUGCUCGAGUGGCGAACGGGUGAGUAACACGUGAGUAACCUGCCCUUGACUUUGGGAUAACUUCAGGAAACUGGGGCUAAUACCGGAUAGGAGCUCCUGCUGCAUGGUGGGGGUUGGAAAGUUUCGGCGGUUGGGGAUGGACUCGCGGCGUAUCAGCUUGUUGGUGGGGUAGUGGCUUACCAAGGCUUUGACGGGUAGCCGGCCUGAGAGGGUGACCGGCCACAUUGGGACUGAGAUACGGCCCAGACUCCUACGGGAGGCAGCAGUGGGGAAUAUUGCACAAGGGGCGGAAGCCUGAUGCAGCAACGCCGCGUGCGGGAUGACGGCCUUCGGGUUGUAAACCGCUUUCGCCUGUGACGAAGCGUGAGUGACGGUAAUGGGUAAAGAAGCACCGGCUAACUACGUG
rnacentral:rRNA from 1 species